rnacentral:rRNA from 1 species
UACGGGGGGAGCAAGCGUUGUUCGGAUUUACUGGGCGUAAAGGGCGCGUAGGCGGCACUGCAAGUCAGUUGUGAAAUCUCCGGGCUUAACCCGGAAAGGUCAACUGAUACUGCAGGGCUAGAGUGCAGAAGGGGCAACUGGAAUUCUCGGAGUAGCGGUGAAAUGCGUAGAUAUCGAGAGGAACACCUGCGGCGAAGGCGGGUUGCUGGGCUGACACUGACGCUGAGGCGCGAAAGCCAGGGGAGCGAACGGG